ACCAAACAGAAUAAACAGCACUGGAAGUUACUGAGGUUACCUUGCCCUUCCUAUUUCUAUCUUCUUUCAGGGCCCUGAUAAGCCAUCCGUGUGAUUGCUGCUGCUGUACCAAGUUUCCCUCGCAGCCCUAAUGAAACCUGGGUGAAAUCUAUGCAGCUUCCCUCCUGCUGCUUCAUUAUCCAGGAGAAGCAAAUUGUGUUCGAAGAAGUACGGCAGAUGGGGACAACUCUUCCACGAUUUUGAAAUGCUUCUCCUCAAGCCCCUUUGUUCUAACAAUCUCACCAAGAAGCAGAGUUCAUGAAGGCAGUGAAUAUGAGCAGGCCUGUACCAAGGACCAUGGCAGAGGUCUUCACGGCAUCCCAGAGCUUCUCUUCCUAUACAGCCCAUCACAGAUACAAUUUGAUUCUAGUACUGGGAGUACGACUUGUCUAGAAGGUACCAUGUGUGAUCUGUACAGAAUAACUGCCCUAUAACAAGAAGUUAAAAUACACAACUUCAGAGAAGUAGGAAGUUCACUACAUUCCUGUUCUCAGUCAUGGAAGUGUUACCUACUAAACAAAUAUCCCCAUUUCCUGCUGCCCAGAUAGUCCCAAGCUGAGACUGCACAAGCGCCUGCUUCUCCUUGUACUGUACCCAGUCUCCUAUUGCAUCGCAUCCUUCUGACACCAGCUAAGUCCUGCUGCUGUCAGGUACAGCUGGAUAACUGUCUGCAGUGAUGGAGUGGCUGCCAACCCCGUUGUUUGGUAUUUUUUUCCUUCCUGCUUGAAACUUCUACUUUAGAACUUCAUUGGAAUCAAGCUUUGUAGUACAUAGACAGUGGAAAUGUUGCCCGGGAGAAAUAAGAGAACGACUGUGAAAGUACAGAACCUAUAGAGAGGAGAAAAGUAAGGACAA